UGGGGAAUAUUGCACAAUGGGCGCAAGCCUGAUGCAGCCAUGCCGCGUGUAUGAAGAAGGCCUUCGGGUUGUAAAGUACUUUCAGCGGGGAGGAAGGGAGUAAAGUUAAUACCUUUGCUCAUUGACGUUACCCGCAGAAGAAGCACCGGCUAACUCCGUGCCAGCAGCCGCGGUAAUACGGAGGGUGCAAGCGUUAAUCGGAAUUACUGGGCGUAAAGCGCACGCAGGCGGUUUGUUAAGUCAGAUGUGAAAUCCCCGGGCUCAACCUGGGAACUGCAGCUGAUACUGGCAAGCUUGAGUCUCGUAGAGGGGGGUAGAAUGCCAGGUGUAGCGGUGAAAUGCGUAGAGAUCUGGAGGAAUACCGGUGGCGAAGGCGGCCACCUGGACGAAGACUGACGCUCAGGUGCGAAAGAGUGGGGAGCAAACAGG
rnacentral:rRNA from 1 species